GGUACAUUCAGAGGAUCCAAUCCAGAAAAAAAACCAGAGCUUUUUUCUAAAUGCUGUAAAUGAGGGAGAACAAGUCACAAAUGUGGCAGAUCUCACUGAUACGAAAAGUGGAAAGGGAAAAGAACAAAACUCCGGAGACUGCAUCAUUCAGCUGCAAGCUUGAUACUCGACCAGACGACGGGUUCCGAAACGUGGACUCCUGCCUUCAUAAACCGGGGAGGCAUUACAUUGGGUACACGCCCUUUUGUUUUGAUUCAAUCGUCUGAACAAGACUAAGAACCAAGAUAUAGUGUAGAUGACAUAUUUUUCACAAGUUUUUUAAAAAGGGUAAACGUAAAGUUUAAAGAUUAUAAGAUAUGUUAGCGAAUCUUUAGAUCUGAAAUUCCCUCAUCUCCUGACAAGAAACUAAUUGAAAUGAUUCAUUCAUUAGUAAUUAAUGCCUUUGAAAGCAUAACGGAUAUUGUUUUUUUGUUGUUGUUGUUUUUUUUUUGGUACUGAAUGAAGGAUAUCAGAGAUUAUACAGCUUAAGCUGGUAACUUUCAGGCAUUAUGUACAAAGUACUAUGCUCACUUUUAUUAGUGAUGUGUAUAUUUACAGAGAAGUGUUUCCUGUGGGAAACUAGUGUGAUGUAGUAAUGUGCCCAUAGUGAACCAACAGUAAUAAAAAGUGUUCAGUCACUUAU